CAGCCAAUGCUCUUAACCUCUGAGCCAUCUCUCCAGCCCAAGCAACAACUUUUUAAAAGGUGACCACAGCUGCUAAAAUGAGUUCAUGCGUGCAAUGUCCCUGCUGUGUCCAGGAAACUCUGGUGCAUGCUCCCGUAGAUGGUCCCACAUCAUAUACACAUGACCAAGUUGGAGAGAUGACAUGACAUGUUCCGGGGAAUCCAGGAGGAGUUGAAGAGGGGGGCUAAGGGGUGGAUGUAAACAAAAUAUAAUGUCUAGAUUUAUGAAGUUUUCAAAGAGCGAAUAAAAAUUAUUUUUAAAAGAG